GACGAACGCUGGCGGCGUGCCUAACACAUGCAAGUCGAACGGAACGUUCGGGUCUCGGUGCGCAGGGCUGCGUACCGAGUGGGGACCUGCCCUUAGGUUCGGAAUACCUCACCUAGGGGUGUCCUCAUGACAGAUGAUGUCUUACCACCAAAGAUUUCUCGCCUUUGGAUGGGCGCUCGUUGGAUUCGCUAGUUGGUAGGGUAAAAGCCUACCAAGGCGAUGUUGCAUAGCUGGUCGGAGAGGAUGAUCAGCCACACUGGGACUGAGACACGGCCCAGACUCGUACGGGAGGCAGGAGUGGGGAAUAGUGGACAAUGGGCGAAAGCCUGAUCCAGCAAUGCCGCGGGAGUGAUGAAGGCCGUAGGGUUGUAAAGCUCUUUGACCCGGGAUGAUAAUGACAGUACCGGGUGAAUAAGCUCCGGCUAACUCCGUG
rnacentral:rRNA from 1 species